GACGAACCGAGCGACCGUUAUUCGGAAUCACUGGGCUUAAAGGGUGCGUAGGCGGCGCGGUAAGUCGGGUGUGAAAUCUCGGAGCUUAACUCCGAAACUGCAUUCGAUACUGCCGUGCUUGAGGACUGGAGAGGAGACUGGAAUUUACGGUGUAGCGGUGAAAUGCGUAGAUAUCGUAAGGAAGACCAGUGGCGAAGGCGGGUCUCUGGACAGUUCCUGACGCUGAGGCACGAAGGUCAGGGGAGCAAACGGG
rnacentral:rRNA from 1 species